CGAACGAUGAUCUCCAGCUUGCUGGGGGAGUUAGUGGCGAACGGGUGAGUAACACGUGAGUAACCUGCCCUUGACUCUGGGAUAAGCCUGGGAAACUGGGUCUAAUACUGGAUAUGACCAUUCCACGCAUGUGGUGGUGGUGGAAAGCUUUUGUGGUUUUGGAUGGACUCGCGGCCUAUCAGCUUGUUGGUGGGGUAAUGGCCUACCAAGGCGACGACGGGGUAGCCGGCCUGAGAGGGUGAACGGACACAUUGGGACUGAGAUACGGCCCAGACUCCUACGGGAGGCAGCAGCUAAGAAUAUUCCGCAAUGGACGAAAGUCUGACGGAGCGACGCCGCGGUUGGAUGAAGAAGGCCGGAAGGUUGUAAAAUCCUUUUGAAACUGAAGAAUAAGCGUUGUAGGGAAUGACAGCGUGGUGACAGUAGGUUUUGAAUAAGCAACGGCUAAUUACGUGCCAGCAGCCGC
rnacentral:rRNA from 1 species